rfam:Cricetulus griseus cell line CHO-K1, whole genome shotgun sequence.
GGAUGUGAGGGCGAUCUGGCUGCUACAUCUGUCAUCCCAUUGUUCGCCAGGGUUGAUUCAGCUGAUCUGGCUGGCUAGUGACCCCUUCCUCCCUCACCACUCCACGUCCCUCCCAAAGCUGAGUACCCCAGUCUUCCUUCAAGGGUAUAGGAGUGACUGAGCUCCCCUGCUAGAACCUCCAAACAAUCUCUCCAGGUCCUCUUUCCCUCCUCUCUUCCUCU